rnacentral:rRNA from 1 species
AACGAACGCUGGCGGCAUGCCUAACACAUGCAAGUCGAACGAGCUCUUCGGAGCUAGUGGCGCACGGGUGCGUAACGCGUGGGAAUCUGCCCUUGGGUUCGGAAUAACAGUUAGAAAUGACUGCUAAUACCGGAUGAUGACUUCGGUCCAAAGAUUUAUCGCCCAGGGAUGAGCCCGCGUAGGAUUAGCUAGUUGGUGAGGUAAAAGCUCACCAAGGCGACGACCUUAGCUGGUCUGAGAGGAUGAUCAGCCACACUGGGACUGAGACACGGCCCAGACUCCUACGGGAGGCAGCAGUGGGGAAUAUUGGACAAUGGGCGAAAGCCUGAUCCAGCAAUGCCGCGUGAGUGAUGAAGGCCUUAGGGUUGUAAAGCUCUUUACCCGGGAUGAUAAUGACAGUACCGGGAGAAUAAG